rnacentral:rRNA from 1 species
CCCUUAGAUGUUCUGGGCGGCCCGCGCACUACAAUGGCGCUUUCAGCGAGUUCCUAUGUUGAAUUUCCUGGGUAUUCUUGGAAGCGGCGUCUUGACUUGGGAUAGAUCCUUGUAAUUGUUGGUUUUGAACGAGGAAUUCCUUGUAAUCGCGGUUGAUCAGCUCGCGUUGAAUACGUCCCUGCCCUUUGUACACACCGCCCGUCGCUCCUACCGAUGAAUCGUCCGGUGAAGUUCACAGAGUGGCGGUUCGUGGAGUUGCUCGCGAAGUGAAAUGGACCUCACGAUUUAGAGGAAGGAGAAGUCGUAACA